ensembl:lncRNA novel transcript
CUGCUCCGGGCAGCCCCGCGGGUGAGCUGGGUGCGCGCUGGGUGCUUGGGGUCUGGCUCGCUCUCCCAUCCCCGGGCAGACAGCUGCACGGGUGGCCUCGUGGUCCAUGGCCUCCGGCUGGGCCGGGGAAAGCCGUUUCGCGGAGCACGCCCGGCGGGUAAGGACAGGGAGGCGGUGCCACCUGGCCCUGGACCACCGAGGCCAAGGUCUCACAGGAAGCUCAGCCUCCAGCCCCUGCAGAUCCGCACGGCAGCCGCAGACAUCCUGAGGACGACGCGUCCUGGGGUCCCAGCUGCACGAGGCUCAGGACAGAGCUGGGGGUGUCAGCGACAAUAUUUCCCUCGCUCGUACAUUCCUUGGUAAUAAAAACACAAGCG